rnacentral:rRNA from 1 species
AGUGAACGUUGGCGGUAGGCCUAACACAUGCAAGUCGAACGGCAGCACAGUAAGAGCUUGCUCUUACGGGUGGCGAGUGGCGGACGGGUGAUGAAUACAUCGGAAUCUACUUUUUCGUGGGGGAUAACGUAGGGAAACUUACGCUAAUACCGCAUACGACCUACGGGUGAAAGCAGGGGAUCUUCGGCCCUUGCGCGAUUGAAUGAGCCGAUGUCGGAUUAGCUAGUUGGCGGGGUAAAGGCCCACCAAGGCGACGAUCCGUAGCUGGUCUGAGAGGAUGAUCAGCCACACUGGAACUGAGACACGGUCCAGACUCCUACGGGAGGCAGCAGUGGGGAAUAUUGGACAAUGGGCGCAAGCCUGAUCCAGCCAUGCCGCGUGGGUGAAGAAGGCCUUCGGGUUGUAAAGCCCUUUUGUUGGGAAAGAAAAGCAGCAGGUUAAUACCCCGCUGUUCUGACGGUACCCAAAGAAUAAGCACCGGCUAACUUCGUG